rnacentral:rRNA from 1 species
AUUGAACGCUGGCGGCAUGCCUUACACAUGCAAGUCGAACGGUAACGCGGGGCAACCUGGCGACGAGUGGCGAACGGGUGAGUAAUGCAUCGGAACGUGCCCAGUAGUGGGGGAUAGCCCGGCGAAAGCCGGAUUAAUACCGCAUACGACCUACGGGUGAAAGCGGGGGAUCGCAAGACCUCGCGCUAUUGGAGCGGCCGAUGUCAGAUUAGGUAGUUGGUGGGGUAAAGGCCUACCAAGCCUUCGAUCUGUAGCUGGUCUGGGAGGACGACCAGCCACACUGGGACUGAGACACGGCCCAGACUCCUACGGGAGGCAGCAGUGGGGAAUUUUGGACAAUGGGCGCAAGCCUGAUCCAGCCAUGCCGCGUGCGGGAAGAAGGCCUUCGGGUUGUAAACCGCUUCUGUCAGGGAAGAAACGCUCUGGGCUAAUACCUCAGGGUAAUGACGGUACCUGAAGAAUAAGCACCGGCCAACUACGUGCCAGCAGCCGCCGCCG